rfam:Rhizoctonia solani 123E scf_2454 mitochondrial, whole genome shotgun sequence.
CUUGUAUUCUAUCUUACACGAGUUCGUCUUGAUAGGCAUUAUUGGUAACGAUUUUGUCUAAAGCUCAAGAUAUAAAUUAAAGUAU